AACUCUGUCUCUCUCUGUCUCCGUUCCUUUGCCAGCAUCACCGCACUGCACCGUCGCCGUCCAACAACCCCGCCAUUGUCGUCCAGCACCGAUGUGACUUCCCCUUUGUCUCUGUUCAUCUUCCUCUUUUUGCGCCUCAGGUAGCAGAGAUAGACCGAGUGGGUCUUGUGGUCGUGGUAGAAAAAAAGUUUCCACUGAAUCCCCUGCGACUGUUCAAUCCUCGCCUUUUACCUCGACUACCCCAUCGACCCCUGUGACGUCACAGGUGGGUCCAGCGAACCAACAGCUCAUCAUGGUCUCAAACCCGAACUACGUGCUUCAUUUUGCUAUGCCCCCUGCAGAUCCAGCGAUAGAGCUCAGGGUGGGUGAUUCCUCCAGUACCCCUCAGCAAGAUGCCCCUCUAACAUCGCCCGUCAUCCAGUUGAGAAUUUUUUCCGAUGGCAUGCAGGUUUGCACCAAACAAUAAUGCUUGCACACAGGAGAUCUCCGAGGUCAUUAAGUCGAUGUAUGACCACCCAUGGCCGACUUACACGCAGAUCCUGGUUGAGACUAGAGAUCGAUGGUUUCAGAAGUGGACAGUAGAACCCAAUAAUGUUGAAUUAAUUAACUGUAUUUGAACUGUAUCUUAUUCUGACUAACUAAUGUUGUUGAAUCACUUUGUGCAGUUGAAAGUCAUAUGGGAUGCGGAGCAUAAUCUCAUGAUCAGGAAGAUCUACGACCACCGGGCAGCUAAACGACUUCAGUAGAUGAUGAGCGACGUUCGUAAGGGGUGCGACCACCUAACGUUGUGGAUUCGUCCAGCCAUCAAGAAGGAACUGAAGGCUUAUUUUAACAAUGAUGAGGGGUUCAAGCAUCACCGUCUGAUGAAUGUCUCUAACAGGGCUUUGCCCAGGUCGUCGAAGUAUACGGGUAGGUCGGCAACAUUCAUGAAGACGAAGAGCUGAUUGUCUAAGUCAUUGGACUGUGAGGUGACAUUGGCGGAGGCCUUCAAGUAUAUCCAUACUUUGAAGGCUAACAAGGAGAGAUUUGCUUAUGAGCGAUCUGCGGCCCACUAUAAAAAUUACACGCAGAGGUUGGAGGCUACAACCCAGCAAUCUCAGCUGCCUGGUGGGAAUGACGAAGCUGGUUUUGAGACCUCAGUGGUAGAUCCUAAUAGGGUUUGGCACGAGACCGCCUCUGAACCCUAUAAGAAUCGCCGCAUCGGGUUGGGGUCGUUCUUCGCUAGUGGCCUUUGCUCCUCCGCGUUGGCGGCUUCUUGUGCCUUUGCCACCAGCCCUACCGAUCCCCAGAAAGUUGUCAACUUAAGAGAGGAGGUGCAAAAGGUGACACAGAAGCAUCACCAGCAAGCGGAGUAAUCUGAGUAGAGGUACAAUGACUUUUUUGCACGCGUGGGAGGAGUCGUUGCCAUCAGCUUAGACCUGACAGAGAAGAUGGAGCAGCUAGAUCAGUUACGAGAGCAGAUGGAGGCGUACAACCAAUAGAUGUACGUUAGAGCCAGCGAUGCUGGAGGCCGGGGGAUUCCCAUUGGAGCACAGACAUCAGCACCUACUCUGUCACCUUAGCAGGGGGACCACGACAAUGACAAUGAUUUUCGGGAUUUGUAGGGGUUAGGGUAUUAUUUUUUUCUUUUGUCUAUUUCAUUGUAUUCUACUUCUAUGAUAUUUUGUUGUAU